rnacentral:rRNA from 1 species
AAGUCGUAACAAGGUUUCCGUAGGUGAACCUGCGGAAGGAUCAUUAAUUGUAUAACGGGGGCCGGCGAGGGAUUGCGCACUUCGGUGCGCCUUUCUUCCCCGCCCUGUCUGAUACUACCCAUGUCUUUUGCGUACCAAUUGUUUCCUCGGUGGGCUUGCCCGCCGGUUGGACACUAUAAAACCUUUUGUAAUUGCAGUCAGCGUCAGAAAAACAUAAUAAUUACAACUUUCAACAACGGAUCUCUUGGUUCUGGCAUCGAUGAAGAACGCAGCGAAAUGCGAUAAGUAGUGUGAAUUGCAGAAUUCAGUGAAUCAUCGAAUCUUUGAACGCACAUUGCGCCCCUUGGUAUUCCAUGGGGCAUGCCUGUUCGAGCGUCAUUUGUACCCUCAAGCUCUGCUUGGUGUUGGGUGUUUGUCCCGCUUUGCGCGUGGACUCGCCUUAAAGCAAUUGGCAGCCGGCAAUCUGGUUAUAGAGCGCAGCACAUUUUGCGCUUCUUGCCAUGGAUGUCGGCAUCCAUCAAGUACAUUUUUUUUGCUCUUGACCUCGGAUCAGGUAGGGAUACCCGCUGAACUUAA